rnacentral:lncRNA from 1 species
CACAAUGUACAACUGCAGAAGAAGCCAUGUCUUAGGUCCAGACAAGGAAUUCUUGGCAUCUAAGAGGGGUGCAAACUUGGAUCUGCAGCGCCAGCUGUAAUGUUACAACUCCGAAAGUUUCUCCAGAGGUCUGAAGUAAAGUUUGUUGGAAAUGGCUCCAUCUUGGACCUUUAGGCAUUUCCCUUUCAGAAGAUGCCCAUUCCAAAGCAAUUACUGCAUGGGAGAUGCAAAGUGGCUGGAAGAACCUGCUCAUUCUGGGUCUGUAAUGGAGCCUGUGAGGAGCUCAGCUUGCUGGGGUGCCAGCAGGAGAACUUCCUUGUCAGCAACUGAGAGGAUCCUGAAGAGUUCCAAGCUUAAUUCUGAAGAGAGAAGACCUUUUCAACUAAAGCCCUGGGAUGUGUCACUGGAGGAAGUACAAAAGCCAAACAUUUGGACAAUUUGGACAAGGGUUUGAGCUUUUUUUCCCAGUUGAAACAACUGUCCAAACCACUUUUGCCUGCAAAAAGUAAAAUGGGCAUUUUCCCACUGUUCCCAGGCCCAUUGCACAGGGAGUGUCCCGGGGAAUGGGGGGCAAAUGCAGGGAUGGAGCAAAUGGGAUGGAGCCACAUUUAGAGGAGCAGCUUGGACCACAGUGAGAUCCACUGGGCUCUGAUUUUAAUUGUGGCUCCAGGAUUUUGUCCUCUUUCCCAUCAUCGCGGUCCCUCAGCAGGGACUUCAAAGGCACAGGAGCCCCUUGGGACACUGAAGAUACAGAUGAGCUUCUACUGCAGCCUUCAAAGGCAUUUAGGAUGUUGAAAGUCUGCCUCCUGACGGGGCCUUUAACCACAUGGAAAGUGGGAUUUGGGUGCUUAGAUUGUUUCUCUGCUUUUGAAAUUUGCUUUUUUGAGGACUGGUGGUUCUUAGUGGCCAGUCCAGGAAGGAACAGCUGGGAGUGAGAUCAGAGGGGAGUUUGGCUGUUAAGCAAUGCUUUGUCCCUUGCUGCACUGACAUGCAGAUUUUCAGAGGUAUAAAAGAGAAAAGGUGUCCUGGAGGAGGACGGAGAGGAUGAAUGGAGGCACAGACCUGUCCCUGAAGGCAACAAGAAUGAGUUUUGAUAAAUCAGGAGUAGAUUGGCUGCCCCCAACCCUCCUGGUCCUCAAAAGUGGCUCAAGGAGCACCGAACACAGCAGUGACAUUCUUUUCCUCCUCUCUAAAACAGCACCAUGACCACUAAACUCGGUUGUAUAUUUAUGUAUGGCUUUGCAUUCCUGGGUGGUGGCUGUGGGGAGUUCCCAAAGGCUGGCUGGGAUUCCCACAGCUCCUCUCCAAGCCCACAGAAGAGGGAUGUGAUGUGUGUGUGCCGCAGAGGUGGCAGUGCUGGCUGUCCCCUGCCAGGGGCUGUCACAGACAUCUUUUAGGAAAAAUCCUUUCCUUAGGAUUUUUCCUCCUGAGAAGCUGAGAAGCCUCAGGAACAAAAUGUAAACAUUGAUUAUCUGCUGCUGUGGAAUGCAACAGGUGCAUCUGUGAUUGGUCUCAUGUGGUUGUUUCUAAUUAAUGGCCAAUCACAGUCAGCUGGCUCGGACAGAGAGUCCCAGACAGAAGCUUUUGUUAUUCAUUCUUUCUUUUUCUAUUCUCAGCUAGCCUUCUGAUGAAAUCCUUUCUUCUAUUCUUUUAGUAUACUUUUAAUAUAAUAUAUAUGAUAAAAUAAUAAAUCAAGCCUUCUGAAACA